UCAUAAUCUAGUUAUAUCUAAAGUGCUUCCCUCUUCUCCAAGAACCAAGGCCGCCGACCACAACCACCAAUUAGUUAACACCAUAAAACCGGUAUCAGUUUCGCCAUCGAUCAAGAAUCACACUUCCUCUUUCAAUUCAAUCGCGAUAACAUACCAACCGGUAUCAUGCAGAUUUCGUGAAAACCCUAACCGGGAAGACGACUACAUUCGAAGUCGAGAGCAGUGAGACCAUUGACAACGUCAAAGCCAAAAUCCAGGUCUAAUUUUGUUAAUCGUUGUCUCUUUUUAUGCGUGUACUUAAUCGAUUUUGUUGAUCUGUCAUCGCUUAUUGUAUAUUUCUUCUGCCGAUUCUAUUUUUACCUUUUUGCUAUGUGUUCGCUUAGGCCUGAAAGUGCUUUCACUGGUUUACUAAUGAAAAAAAAAACGACAAAGAAGGUAUCCCACCAGACCAACAAAGAUUAAUUGAUUUCAUAUUCUUACUGAUUUAUUGAUUUCUAGGUUCGCUUCCCCCUUUUAUCGCUGCUAUGUUUAUCACUUGUAAUACAAGAAGAUAACAAUUAGACACGUUCUUCUAGGUCACGACACUAGAAUGAAACAUGCCACUAACACAAUUUUAUUACUACUCCAUCCUCAAGAAUAAGUGUAAGAGGCACACUUUCCUUUAACAUAUUUCUAUCAAUAAAGAGAUACAGUUGAUUUGUCCAAGUUUAGCCACAUAAUAUGUCCAUUAUCAAUUAUCAUAAUCUUUCUAGGGACCACUUGUCUAUAUAAUAUUUUCUAGCUUUCUGUGUAUAAGGCUAUAUUUCGGAUAUGGUCCACAAAAUUACACAGAUUGUUAUCGUGAUCAGUAUUCUAGAGAAGAAGCCAGUUAUCACACGGAAUGCAUCACCACGGAAAAUGACAAACAUUCCCUUCAUGAAAACACAUCCCUUUUUUGGUUGCAGAAGCGUCUACACCUUCUUGUGAAGAAAUUGAUCAUUCCCAAUCAUCAUUUUAUCUACAAGAUUCACCUAAUCAGUCUAUGGCAAACUACACUCUUGGUUCCGAUUUCGAUGGUUCUCUUCAACCCACCAUAACUAACGCUCAUCUCUGCACCUCUCUUUGCUGUUCCGUUGGUCCCUUUGUAUGAAGAAGGUGGAUCUGCCAAUCGAACCUUAAAAGUUGAAGCCGAAAAGCUCAAAACUUAUUCCUGACAUCAGGUUCUAUCUAUGGUAAAGACGGAGAAUAAGAACACAGCAGCAGACACGAUUACGAUUUUUAAGUUCUGAUGAAACAAACUGUAAGCUUUUUUUUCUUUCCUAUGCUACAGCUUCCUCCAUUUUCUUUUUCGUUUCUAUUUCACUCUCUUUGUAAUUAGCAAUGGAUUGACACAAAGAUUCGGUCUAUCAAAUUAAUUAACCAUGGUGGAGGAUUUGGUGUAACUUUGACCGGUCUUUCUGAUUCUUUUUGGACCAAGGAAAAAAUGUACCUAAUAACAUAGAUAACAAGGAAAUGAAGACUUUAUGUUCAGAAAGUAGUCGUCGGUAGAACCACAUGUACAAACGACUAGUAAACAUAAAAGUAUUGGUGAUCAGUCAACUAAUUUGGAAGAAUAUACCCAUCCGGUGCUUACAAUAUUGCUACAUAACGUCUAUUUCUCAACACAAGCGUGAACUUAGUUGAUUUUCCUUAAUAUUGAUGUUUUAUCUGAGUAAUAAAUUUUUGUGUUUUAGAGGUUAAAAGAAGGAAGAUAUUGAGAGAUGGAUUUGGAUAUUGUCAAGCAUAAUUGUAGUGUCACACCCCAAAACCAUGAACGGCGGAAACGUUCUGGGGCGGAGGACGUUAUGUACAGUAUCAUAACAAUGAAAAGUAGUAAACAAGCAACAACAUCAUCCAUUGCAUUAAUAAUAUAAUUUUUAAUACAAGUGUGUUUUGUCAAAUUAUGAUAAACACUAAAGUAUAAAUCAAAAUGAAAGAUGAGUCUUGAACGAGCUCCAUCUUCUCUAAACCUUGCAUCGGUACCUGUCUACUGUUGACCUGAGGAUACAAGUUAUUUUGAAAGAGAGUAUCAGCUUUAAAGCUGGUGAGAUCAUAAGUAUUUUAGUGUCUUAAUUUGUAUGUAAGCGUUUGUAUGUAUUUGAAAUGUAAGUAUUUGUAUGUAUUUGAAUGUAAGUAUGAAAACGUUUUGAACAUUCUAGAAAA